rnacentral:lncRNA from 1 species
ACCUUUUUAAUUUUGUUUUGUAGCUAGAAAUUUAAUUGUUGUUACAAAAUAAUUGUGCCAUAAGUAUAUAUUUCAUCAUCACAUAUAAGAACUCAAACCUUCAUUAACUUCAAAUAUAUGUCUCAACCAAAGUAAUAACACAAUGAACAGAGUACUGCUAAAAUAAACAUGAUCUCUAACUACAAGUUUGUAACUAUGUUUGGCAUAAUAAAAUAAAACUAAAUAUGAGUUCUCUUAUUGAUCUCUUCAUGCCCCAUCAGCACCGGCCAUCACCAAUAAAAAUUUCUAUAAUUCUUCAUUCUUCUAGCUGUCCAUCACCAGCAUAUAGGCAUAAAGCUUUCUCUAAAUAUUUUGGCUAUCCAUGCUUUCCUGCAAUUCAUGAACACAUAUAAUUUAUUAAUUUAAUAUAUGAACCUUGGUGAUUAAGUGCAUGGAAUAACUAAUCACGUGCAAACUAAAUGAUCAUAGUGACAUAGUAAAGAUAUAAACUAAAUUAAGGAACACUCUGCAAUAAUAUCAUAUACCAUUUGAGAUGACAAGAUCCCCACCAGUUUGAUGAACUUUAUUGACAUAUCAUACAAAGCAUAUUACCCACCAUUUCAAAGACAA